rnacentral:rRNA from 1 species
CUUAACAGGAUUAGAUACCCUGGUAGUCCACGCCCUAAACGAUGCACACUAGUUGUUGUGAGGCUAGACCUUGCAGUAAUGCAGUUAACACAUUAAGUGUGCCGCCUGGGGAGUACGGUCGCAAGAUUAAAACUCAAAGGAAUAGACGGGGACCCGCACAAGCGGUGGAGCAUGUGGUUUAAUUCGACGAUACACGAAGAACCUUACCUGGACUUGACAUAGUAAGAACUAUCUAGAGAUAGAUGGGUGUCUGCUUGCAGAAACUUAUAUACAGGUGCUGCACGGCUGUCGUCAGCUCGUGUCGUGAGAUGUUGGGUUAAGUCCCGCAACGAGCGCAACCCUCGUCAUUAGUUGCUAACAGUUCGGCUGAGAACUCUAAUGAGACUGCCUACGCAAGUAGGAGGAAGGUGAGGACGACGUCAAGUCAUCAUGGCCCUUACGUCCAGGGCUACACACGUGCUACAAUGGGGUAUACAAAGAGCAGCAAUACGGUGACGUGGAGCAAAUCUCAAAAAUAUCUCCCAGUUCGGAUUGUAGUCUGCAACUCGACUACAUGAAGUUGGAAUCGCUAGUAAUCGUAGAUCAGCUAUGCUACGGUGAAUACGUUCCCGGGUCUUGUACUCACCGCCCGUCACACCAUGGGAGUUGAACUCAUUCGAAGCGGGGAUGCUAAAAUAGCUACCUUCCACAGUGGAUUCAGCGACUGGGGUGAAGUCGUAACAAGGUAACC